rnacentral:lncRNA from 1 species
GACCAAAAAUAGAUUUAAUGUGUUCAAUUUAUCUAUGCAUUAUAAUCCAUUAAGCCCAAAUAUUAAUUGGGCCUAAAACUAAGAUUCUUUAAGCCCAAAACUGUUUUUGGAUUUAAAUGCAAAUAAUUGAAACAUUUCUGCCCGAAAGAAAACUUAUGAAACCAUAGGGACCUCCAUGAUAAGAACCAUGAAACCCUAAAAUCAUAUUUUUCUUCCUUUCAUCUUCCCCAGCCGCCAUCUCCACAAAGGGCAGCGACUGUUCAC